UACGUAGGGCGCAAGCGUUAUCCGGAAUUAUUGGGCGUAAAGAGCUCGUAGGCGGUUUGUCGCGUCUGCCGUGAAAGUCCGGGGCUCAACUCCAGAUCUGCGGUGGGUACGGGCAGACUAGAGUGAUGUAGGGGAGACUGGAAUUCCUGGUGUAGCGGUGAAAUGCGCAGAUAUCAGGAGGAACACCGGUGGCGAAGGCGGUGGUCUGGGCCGGCACUGACGCUGAGGAGCGAAAGCGUGGGGAGCGAACAGG
rnacentral:rRNA from 1 species